GACUCAUGUCUAAAUUAUGAUUUGUCUCUUUCUUUAGGUACUCUCCAGAAAAAGGUUCAGAGUUGAAAAAAAAAUACAAAAACAACAUGGGAUAUGGUAUUGAUGUGCUCUCCCACCAGCAAAAAUCUGGAAUAGUUUACGUUUAAGUUGCACAGGAUUUCUACUUACAUAAAUGAAGUUCAUGGUACAUCCACACUUAUGAUUUGUCAUUUCCUAUUUCAUAUCCCUUUCAUAUGUGUCCUGAGUGAUCUAAAACAUAUUCCUUGUUAUCAGAACGAACUGAAACUUUGUUUCUUGAAAUUUUCAUUUCCCUCUUCACCUAUCAUCUAUUUAUACUGCUGCAGACAUACAACUUGUCCUACCAUCUGUUUGUUUCAGAUUACUACAUGCUUACUACAAAUAUUGCCAUUCUGUAACUUCUUCCCUUUAGUCCUUUUAGACAGUAUGAAGUCUCCUACACAUUUCCACUCAUUUUUCCAUCAGUGGAUUGACCAGUCUUUUCAGUGAAAGAUGUUCCAUUCCAUUUGAAAUGUUCUAUUAGCCCAUCUAAUGGGCUAAUGCUCAACUAGUGCUCACUAGAAACAUAAAAUAAAUAUUUUUUUUCAUUA